AUGGAGUCUCUUCAUUGCAUCCAACAAUUCCCUACAGCCGAUUUAAUCGAAGGUAAAAUGGUGCAUCCGCCUGCUGGCUACAGCUCUUCAAGCAUACACCCGCCAGUGCAGUAUACGACCAUGAUCCAGUGGUCUCCCCCGUCGGCCGGACGUGUCAAGCUGAACAUUGACGGAUCCUUCAUCGAGACCGAUGGUGGAUUGGCGGGAGCCGACAUGAUCCUUCGCAACAGCGAUGGCAGCAUCGUCUUCUCCGGUUGCCGUUCCAUACGACACUGCUCCGGACCUCUUCAAGCUGAACUUUUGGCGUGCCAUGAUGGUCUGAACCUUGCUCUUUAG
rnacentral:rRNA from 1 species